rnacentral:rRNA from 1 species
AUUGAACGCUGGCGGCAGGCCUAACACAUGCAAGUCGAACGAGUGGCGGACGGGUGAGUAAUGUCUGGGAAACUGCCUGAUGGAGGGGGAUAACUACUGGAAACGGUCGCUAAUACCGCAUACCAUCAGAUGUGCCCAGAUGGGAUUGGCGUGUUGGUGGGGUAACGGCUCACCAAGGCGACGAUCCCUAGCUGGUCGUAGAGGAUGACAAGCCACACUGGAACGGAGACACGGUCCAGACUCCUACGGGAGGCAGCAGUGUGGAAGAUGGCACAAGGGGCGCAAGCCUGAUGCAGCAAUGCCGCGUGUAUGAAGAAGGCCUUCGGGUUGUAAAGUACUUUCAGCGGGGAGGCGUUACCCGCAGAAGAAGCACCGGCUAACUCCGUGCCAGCAGCCGCGGUAAUUC